rnacentral:rRNA from 1 species
GACGAACGCUGGCGGCGUGCUUAACACAUGCAAGUCGAACGGAAAGGCCCUGCUUUUGUGGGGUGCUCGAGUGGCGAACGGGUGAGUAACACGUGAGUAACCUGCCCUUGACUUUGGGAUAACUUCAGGAAACUGGGGCUAAUACCGGAUAGGAGCUCCUGCUGCAUGGUGGGGGUUGGAAAGUCUCGGCGGUUGUGGAUGGACUCGCGGCUUAUCAGCUUGUUGGUGGGGGAGUGGCUUACCAAGGCUUUGACGGGUAGCCGGCCUGAGAGGGUGACCGGCCACAUGGGGACUGAGGUACGGCCCAGACUCCUACGGGAGGCAGCAGUGGGGAAUAUGGCACAAUGGGCGGAAGCCUGAUGCAGCAACGCCGCGUGCGUGAUGACGGCCUUCGGGUUAUAAACCGCUUUCGCCUGUGACGAAGCGGGAGUGACGGUAAUGGGUAAAGAAGCACCGGCUAACUACGUG